rnacentral:rRNA from 1 species
GGGGGGGCAAGCGUUGUUCGGAAUUACUGGGCGUAAAGGGCGCGCAGGCGGCCUGGCAAGUCCUACGUGAAAUCCCACAGCUUAACUGUGGAACUGCGUGGGAUACUGCCAGGCUUGAGUCCGGGAGAGGAGAGUGGAAUUCCCAGUGUAGCGGUGAAAUGCGUAGAUAUUGGGAGGAACACCGGUGGCGAAGGCGGCUCUCUGGACCGGUACUGACGCUGAGGCGCGAAAGCUAGGGGAGCAAACGGGGAUUAGAUACCCCGGUAGUCCUAGCCGUAAACUUUGAGCACUUUGUGUGGCGGGUAUCGACCCCCUGCCGUGCAGAAGCUAACGCAUUAAGUGCUCCGCCUGGGGAGUACGGUCGCAAGGCUG